UUUAAACCAACUUCUAUCAGUGGUUCCAGCAGUGAAACAACGAUCCCCUGCGAGUCUUAAACCCUCCACUAACAGGCCUCGUUUGGAGGUUCAACCACAGUCAGAUCAUCCUGACCCAGACCGGAGACCACGUCCCCUACACAGUCUCAGAGGAGUGGAGGCAGCGGGUGAAGAGUGUGUCUGAGUCAGGCAGCCUCACGCUAAAAGACUUAUCUUCAGAUCAAGACGGGAUAUACACGUGUGAACUGAGUAAUGCUGAGGAGACCUACGUAACCAACACUCUUCUGAGGAUAGAGAAACCUCCAGGAAAGGCAGCAAGAGGUGGGAAUUCAGACAAUGUUAGAGCUGUUAUAGCGGUGUGUUAGCAACUUGUGGCUGCACGUAGUUGUCUUCCUGGUCUGGAUCUGUAAA